CCUACGGGUGGCAGCAGUGGGGAAUAUUGCGCAAUGGGCGAAAGCCUGACGCAGCGACGCCGCGGGAGGGAUGAAGGUCUUCGGAUCGUAAACCUCUGUCAGCAGGGAAGAACGGUCACUGGGCUAAGCAGCAGUGAAUUGACGGUACCUGCAAAGGAAGCACCGGCUAACUCCGUGCCAGCAGCCGCGGUAAUACGGAGGGUGCGAGCGUUAAUCGGAAUUACUGGGCGUAAAGCGCUCGUAGGCGGUAUGUCAAGUCAAGGGUGAAAUCCCCGCGCGCAACGUGGGAACUGCCUUUGAAACUGGCAACCUGGUGUGUGUGAUAGUAUAGUUGAAUUCCCGGUGU
rnacentral:rRNA from 1 species